rnacentral:rRNA from 1 species
GAUCAUGGCUCAGGAUGAACGCUGGCGGCAUGCCUAAUACAUGCAAGUCGAACGAGAGGAAGGAAAGCUUGCUUUUCUGAAUCUAGUGGCGAACGGGUGAAUAACACGUAGGUAACCUGCCCAUGUGCCCGGGAUAACUUCUGGAAACGGAUGCUAAAACCGGAUAGGUAGCAGACAAGCAUUUGACUGCUAUUAAAGUGGCCUUGGCCAUGAACAUGGAUGGACCUGCGGUG